rnacentral:ncRNA from 1 species
AAGGUUUGGUCCUAGCCCUUCUAUUAGCCAUCAGUAGGAUUACACAUGCAAGUAUCAGCACCCCGGUGAAAACGCCCUUUUAAUCAUCAGUGAUAAAAAGGAGCGGGUAUCAAGCACACUGUACAAGUAGCUAAAGACACCUCGCCUAGCCACACCCCCACGGGAUACAGCAGUGACAAAAAUUAAGCCAUGAACGAAAGUUUGACUAAGCCAUACUGACCCAUAGGGUUGGUAAAUUUCGUGCCAGCCACCGCGGUCAUACGAUUAACCCAAGUUAAUAGAUAUACGGCGUAAAACGUGUUAAGGAAGCCACUCACCCAAUAAAGUUAAAUCUUAGACUAUGCUGCAGAAAGCUUUAGCCCAGAUAAAAAUAAACCACGAAGGUGACUUUAAACAAUCCGAUCACACGAUAGCUAAGACACAAACUGGGAUUAGAUACCCCACUAUGCUUAGCCCUAAACCUAAGUAGCCUAAACAACGAUGCUACUCGCCAGAGUACUACUAGCAACAGCUUAAAACUCAAAGGACUUGGCGGUGCUUUACAUCCCUCUAGAGGAGCCUGUUCUGUAAUCGAUAAACCCCGAUAAACCUCACCAACUCUUGCUAAUACAGCCUAUAUACCGCCAUCUUCAGCAAACCCUAAAAAGGAAACAAAGUAAGCAAAACCAUGAAACAUAAAAACGUUAGGUCAAGGUGUAGCCUAUGAGUUGGAAAGAAAUGGGCUACAUUUUCUAGCAUAGAAUAUCAACGAAAAUUUUCGUGAAACCGAAAAUAGAAGGAGGAUUUAGUAGUAAAUUAAGAAUAGAGAGCUUAAUUGAAUAAGGCCAUGAAGCACGCACACACCGCCCGUCACCCUCCUCGAGUAUAAAGAUACAAAUACUUAACCCUAUUAAUAAAUGUACACGCAUAUGAGAGGAGAUAAGUCGUAACAAGGUAAGCGUACUGGAAAGUGCGCUUG